ensembl:lncRNA
AUGACAGAGGACAGAAUCAUCAAAAGUGUCCAGGAGCAACUGUCUGAUCAUAAUAUCCUGUCCUCUUGCCCACCUGAGCUGACUGUUGGUCUUAUCAAGGUGGUGGUCGAACAGCUUAACUCUGCCCUCUCUGCGACCAUCAGCAGAGCCAUUUCAGGGCGGUCCUCCCCUAUUUCUUCUGGUACCCAGGCCGCCAAACAAAUGGUCAACAUGGUCCAGAAAUGUUUUGAUGAUCACACCACCCCAGAGGACCAGAGCUCUACCUCUGUAUUAGAGUCAUGCAUUCCACCUGCAACAGAAGAAGUGAUGACUGUUAUCGCAGAGAUGGUGGGUGAAUUGGAAAAAGAAGAUCCGGAAUUGGCUAAGGUUUUUCGAGAAGUGGCUGUGAAAGUUAAAAUGUUGGCAUCUGGCAGUGACCUUGUAGUGGAGCACCUGGAUGUUGAAGACUCUCCUGUUCCAGAGGAGCUGAACAUAAUAUGUACAUCUUGCAAAGCAAUGAUGCAAAAUCUUGGCACUCUGUUUAGUGUGAAGUUCAAGACCAAAGCCUCAAAGGCUGUGAGUGAAAUUCUUGUGAGAAGGUUAAUGAGCGAUAUCUCUGGUAUGGUUCAACCUUCUCAUUCGUUUAGUACCACUCCAAGCUUGAUGAAUGCAUCUAGCCCAUCUGACAGGAUCCUUGAUUCUGCGGCCACUGAGCUCAUACAGACCAAAGUAGAAUCUGAGGCAUCAAAAAUAAUUGAUAACUUUGUUGAAGAUGUCAAGGACAUUGUGCAGUAUGCUGAAUUAGAUCAGCCAACAAGCACCCAGAGAGAUACCCAAGUGGGACACUGUACGACAAAGCGGAAACCCUUCCAUGCAGCUCGUAGACUCUGCGAGAGACUUCAGGCAAAGCUGGAGACAUUGUUCCUCAGAAUGGGUGGAGCUCCAGUCCAAGGGGAAGAACUUAUGGAAAAAGCUGACUCCAGUGCUGUGCUUCUGGAGCAUACUGACUCCAGUGAUCUGCCUGUUUCAAUCCUAAGCUUGCCUUCCCCAUGUAGGAGUGAAUCCCCUAUAUCAGAACGUAGUUCAUCUUCUUUAUCUGAUGGAUGUGAUUCAACUGACUCUGUAGGAGAGAAAACACCAGAGCAACCUGAAACCAGUAAGAGUGAGGCAAUACUGCAAGUGGUCAACUCAACAGGACUUGGUUCUCUCCGUAAAUGCCAAAGUGAGAACUCUCAACCAUUACUGUCUCUCUGUGAUUCCAACAUGGUGCCCUGCACCAAAGAGGUCUUGUCCCAGAUUGUGACCAUGUAUAGGUCAGAGGUGGCAGAUUUGGAAUGCACAUCAUCUGUUGCAGAGGGUUCCUCUUACAACUCCCUUGAAGUCUGUGGCUUUUUGGACAGUGUCAUGUCUUAUCUAGAAGACAUGCCUGUGUCUGGUUCUUCAUGGUUGGAAGGAUUAAGAGAUACUCCAGCCUCAGUCAUUGAGAAACUCUCCAGUGAGGAGUUCCAGAUGAACGCUACCAACGAAGUGCGAAAAAUACUGAUCAAAUCAGUCAGUAGCUUUCCCAGCAAAGUCAGUUCCAGCCAGACAGAUUCUCAGAUGUUGCCAGCAAAAUCAACAAUUUCCUUAAGGCAUACAGAUAUAACUGCUUUUGAAAUCGUUGGAUCAAUUACAAAUGACAUGAAGAGCCUUUUCCCACCCACAGAGUCUUCUACUACUCUAUGGCAGGCAGACUCUAUGCUUCAACAGAGUGAUGAGAAAACCUCAGAGUACACUGAGGCCACACCCAAAGGCUCACAGUCUGGUUUGGAAGUAUCUGAGAAGAAGAUCUGGACAACUGCAAAGACUAUUUACCACAAUGUGAAGACAAAGAUGAGGAAUUAUUUUACAUGGCAAAAUCAAGUCAAAGCAACAACGGCUCAAGCCAAAAAGACCCUCAGCCAUAUUCUGGUUUCAAUUCAGAAAGAGCUGUCAAAAUCUGACCAAACGGUGACUGCACUUUCACAAAUAGAGAAUGUGGUUGGAAUGAUGCUGAAGGAUGUUGAAAGGGUAAGCAGUGAAUGUGGUGAGGAACUGAUCUAUCAAGCGCCACAGCGUUCUUCCUCCUCGUUGUCAUCCUCAUCUGCCAGAUCAAAGAAGUCAGAGUGGGAAUUUUCACUCCCUGGCACUCCCAUCUCUUCUGAUUUACCAGAGAGUAUUACUCAGCCCAUUGUGAGAUGCUCAGUCAUCGACAUGGGCAAAUCUACUAAGCCAAAAACAUCGGUGUGUGAUGCCAGGGAAAGCAUGUCUGCAAUAGUGGAUACCAUCAUAAAGGAGGUACAUCCAGAGGAAGAAGGGGAGGUUGCAUUCCACCCUGAUCUAUCAGCUGCAAUAGCAAGACUGGAGGAGCUCAUAUCUCAGGGUAGGAUUGGUGCUCUCUCACGUGAUCUUACUCACCAAGUCAACCGCAUCAUUUCUGAGAGCAACUUGACCCCUCUGGUUCUGACAGUGGCGGCUGGAAAGAGUGCAUCCGAUACAGUCCUUACUGAGCUGAAGAGGAAUGACAAGACGGUGGGGAAGCCCACAGCUUACAAGCUGGUUCAGCUUUUUGCAGAGGAGUCUGUGAAGCGCCUCUUGCUUCCUAGCCUUGUGCCCUCUACAGCUUCAAUGAGUUUGGCUCAGGGAGUUAGUGUGCCGGCUAGCGUAUCUGAAGAUAGGAUUUCAUGUUCUUUUUCUACAUCAGCAUUUAGUGACACAGUCAGCCUGUUUACCAAAGUAAUGGUAAGCCAGGUCAUGGACUCUGUGGUUUCUGAUGCACAAAGCAGAGGGUCAUCUCCAACCGGAACUGUAACUGAUAUAGGCAGUCUACUGAGUGGUAAGUCCUACCCUCUGCCAUCUUUCUCCACCAUCAGCAUGACAACAAGUGGGACCUCCAAUGCUGCACGAGGCUUUGAGGCCAACAUAGAUGCUGAGGAAAGGGAUACCAUCAGUUGUUUCGGUGUACCUCAGAGCAUUGUUUGUGAUCAGAAUUCAACCAGCCCGGAUGUUGCCUCGCUUUCAACCCCAUCCACUGACAACUUAGUCGGUGAUGAUGACUUCACCGGCCUCAUCAGCAUGUUAGUGGUGAGACUUCUGUCAAAAAUCCAAACCCAAACUGAUCUGUACCCAACUGACGUCACACGCACGUCACAAGACCUGAUUCCAAAAGUUAUAGCUGCCUUCUGUGCAUGGUCAGGCUGCUCUGAGACCCAAGCUUAUCCCAAGAACCUGAAGAGUCACAAAGUAUACAGCACCGUCUACAAACAUCUGUUGAAGGAGUUUGGCUCAGAGAAAAUACUCCAACUGGCCGUGUCGACUCAGGACUCCACUUUCAAUAGGAUUCUUGUGAAGUCAUUGAGCAAGGAGCUUCUCCACAGUUGUAACGAGGCAUCAAGAGCAGCCUCAAGAACAUCUUUCGAAGCCACCAGGCCAGAAGCUCUUCUCAUGGCUGAAGAUGUGAAGGCUACCAGAGGGAAGCUGUCUUUCCUACAAAGGCUUGCCAGACUGAAAUUCAACUUAAAGCCAUUCAUGAUGGGAAACAAGAAGGAUUCCAAUAAGAAAUCCCGCCAUUCUGAAUCCAAAGACCAGACUACUGCUGAAGAUAUCAUGUGUAAGUCCAUACAGCAGGACAUUUACUGUUUGAGAUAUUGGUGUACAAAGCUGCUAUUGCAAAAAUAUUAAACCCUAUAUACAGUACAUUAUAUAUUAUCGAUAGUAAUCUCUUAUGUAAAAUUAUUUAUAGUUUCCAAAUCUCAAGAUUCUGGUUCUCAUUUAUUUGUGAAAGUAAUAAUGAGUUGAAACUAAGAAUACAAUAUACCAUCAUUUCUAAAUGAAAGUGCAUGUCAACUCUCUCUCUCUUCUGUCGCCCAACAUAGUGGCACAUCCUGCCACAUUUGGACUCCCAGAGGGUCUUCCCUCCACCUCUCAACAGGAGAAGCCUCGCAAACGUCCCCUUCUAAUCAGGAUGUUUUCCACCAUCUCCAUAGGCCUAUCCAAGCCAUUCAAACGGUUUUCAAAGCAAGCUUAAUACAACAAUUUCCUUUAAUACAGUAAUAUUUGCAUUGAAUUGAUGGCCUUUGUCUUCUUUAUUGUUGCCCUGUUAACACAUUUGAUUAGAAAAUACAUAGUAUAUUUAGUUUAGUUUAUUAUGCAGUCAUAGUCACGGUGUAGGCUAAACAAAGUAAUGUUGUCCUGAAUAAUGUAUAGAACAUGCACCCCCCCCCCCACCCACCCACCCACACACACACACACACACACACACACACACACACAGUGUUAUUCAUUGAGCUCACACACAUAGUACUUCAGAUAUGUCCCACUGUCACACCCUGACCAUAGUUUGCUUUGUAUGUUUCUAUGUUUUGGUUGGUCAGGGUGUGAUCUGAGUGGGCAUUCUAUGUUGGAUGUCUUGUUUGUCUAUUUCUAUGUCUGGCCUGAUAUGGUUCUCAAUCAGAGGCAGGUGUUAGUCAUUGUCUCUGAUUGGGAAACAUAUUUAGGUAGCCUGGGUUUCAGACUGGUGAUUGUUCCUGUCUCUGUGUUUGCACCAGAUAGGACUGUUUAGGUUUUCACAUUUCAUUGUUUUGUAGUUUAUUCAUGUAUAGUUUUCCUUUAUUAAACAAACAUGAAUCAUCACCAUGCUGCGUUUUGGUCCGCCUCUCCUUCACCGCAAGAGAACCGUUACAGAAUCACCCACCACAACAGGACCAAGCGGCGUGGUAACGGGCAACAGCUACAGCAGCGAAAAGAGGAAUGGACAUGGGAGGAAGAAUUGGAAGGUAAAGGACCCUGGGCACAGCCUGGAGAAUAUCGCCGCCCCAAAGAAGAGCUGGAGGCGGCGAAGGCGGAGAGGCGCUGGUAUGAGGAGGCAGCACGGCGGCGUGGAGGGCUAUUCCACCUCGCCGCACUGGCAGGGCGACCGGGACCAUUCAACCGGGUAAGGUUGGGCAGGCUCGGUGCUCCAGUGCGCCUGCACGGUCCGGUCUAUCUGUCACCACCUCCACGCACCAGCCCUCCGGUGGCAGCCCCCUGCACCAGGCUGUCUCUCCGGCUCAUCCUUAUCCUCUCCAGCGCUGUCGGAGC